AGCAGCCGCGGUAAUUCCAGCUCCAAUAGCGUAUAUUAAAGUUGUUGCAGUUAAAAAGCUCGUAGUUGAAUUUCGGGAUCAAUAUGUUGGUCGUGCCUUGGUACGUACUGGCAUUAUUGGUUUCUACCUUCUGAAGAACCUCGAUGUCAUUAAUUUGGUGUCUUGGGGAAUCAGGACUGUUACUUUGAAAAAAUUAGAGUGUUUAAAGCAGGCUCGCGCUUGAAUACAUUAGCAUGGAAUAAUGAAAUAGGACGUUUGAUUCUAUUUUGUUGGUUUCUAGGAUUGACGCAAUGAUUAAUAGGGAUAGUUGGGGGCAUUAGUAUUCAAUUGUCAGAGGUGAAAUUCUUGGAUUUAUUGAAGACUAACUACUGCGAAAGCAUUUGCCAAGGAUGUUUUCAUUAAUCAAGAACGAAAGUUAGGGGAUCGAAGACGAUCAGAUACCGUCGUAGUCUUAACCAUAAACUAUGCCGACUAGGGAUCGGAUGAUGUUAAUUUUUUCAAUGACUCAUUCGGCGCCUUA
rnacentral:misc_RNA from 1 species